GUAGUGCUCAAUCUGACCAAAUUCUCAACUUGUUGACCUUAACAGGCCUGAAGCUUUGGAGAACUUAUUUGGGUGAGGGUUAUGUCUUAUUUCCGUUGCACUGCCAAGCUUUUAUGUUCAUUAAAGUUGCUGAACUGUGCUGUCCCUUGACAGCAGGAAGCAUAGGGUUUUUCCCUGCCAAGCAGGACAGGAUCCAGUGAGGCUGCACUCCCUGCUGUGGAUGCAUUUCACAACUGUAAAAAACAUCCAGAUUGUUUCCAGAAGCUAUUUGUGCUGAAAGAUUGUCUAGCCAUGGAUAUAUGUUGAGGAAAAAGUCUUAUCACACUGAGGUACUUUCAUCAACAGUAGCUCACAGAAUGGGACUGCACUGUUGCCAGAUCCAUAAUGCUGAAGGUCUCCUUUCAGAUGACUUUCAGUGAAUGCUUUGUGAAUCAAUGCCUUUGUUCCACAGCUCUGCUGCUGAGACUUGAUGUCUCUCAGUCCAUUGCUUUUUGCCCCAAAGUAAUUAAUGAGGUAAUGUAAAAAAUAUGAACAUUUCACCAGAUAAGUAAAGAUGUUAAAGGUGUGUUAUGGUUUUGAAAUGAAUUUUUUUGUGUGGUGGAGAGGAAGGCAGAAAGAACAAUUGCCGACAGAAAAAAAUACUUCAAAAAUGAUCAAGUGACUUUCUAAACACCAAAUUAUAUUUGAUUUGGGAUGUGUCUGGUUUUCCCUUCCACCUUCAACUUGAAUGAUCUUCCAGGCAG
rnacentral:lncRNA from 1 species